AGAGUUUGCUUCUGGCUCAGGAUGAACGCUAGCUGCAGGCUUAACACAUGCAAGUCGAGGGGCAUCGGGAGGGAAGCUUGCUUUCCUUGCCGGCGACCGGCGCACGGGUGAGUAACACGUAUGCAACCUGCCCUCUUCAGGGGGACAACCUUCCGAAAGGGAGGCUAAUCCCGCGUAUAUCGGUUUCGGGCAUCCGAGAUCGAGGAAAGAUUCAUCGGAAGAGGAUGGGCAUGCGGCGCAUUAGCUAGACGGCGGGGUAACGGCCCACCGUGGCGACGAUGCGUAGGGGUUCUGAGAGGAAGGUCCCCCACACUGGUACUGAGACACGGACCAGACUCCUACGGGAGGCAGCAGUGAGGAAUAUUGGUCAAUGGGAGAGAUCCUGAACCAGCCAAGCCGCGUGAGGGAAGACGGCCCUAUGGGUUGUAAACCUCUUUUGUCGGAGAACAAAACCCGGGACGAGUCCCGGACUGCGUGUAUCCGAAGAAAAAGCAUCGGCUAACUCCGUGCCAGCAGCCGCGGUAAUACGGAGGAUGCGAGCGUUAUCCGGAUUUAUUGGGUUUAAAGGGUGCGUAGGCGGUCCGUUAAGUCAGCGGUAAAAUUGCGGGGCUCAACCCCGUCGAGCCGUUGAAACUGGCAGACUUGAGUUGGCGAGAAGUACGCGGAAUGCGCGGUGUAGCGGUGAAAUGCAUAGAUAUCGCGCAGAACUCCGAUUGCGAAGGCAGCGUACCGGCGCCAGACUGACGCUGAGGCACGAAAGCGUGGGGAUCGAACAGGAUUAGAUACCCUGGUAGUCCACGCAGUAAACGAUGAAUGCUGGUUGUCCGGGUCGAAUGAGACCUGGGCGGCGAAGCGAAAGCGAUAAGCAUUCCACCUGGGGAGUACGCCGGCAACGGUGAAACUCAAAGGAAUUGACGGGGGCCCGCACAAGCGGAGGAACAUGUGGUUUAAUUCGAUGAUACGCGAGGAACCUUACCCGGGCUCAAACGGGAGUGGAAUGGACCAGAGACGGUUCAGCCUGCGGGCCGCUUCCGAGGUGCUGCAUGGUUGUCGUCAGCUCGUGCCGUGAGGUGUCGGCUUAAGUGCCAUAACGAGCGCAACCCCCGCCGGCAGUUGCUAACGGGCAAUGCCGAGGACUCUGCCGGGACUGCCGCCGCAAGGCGUGAGGAAGGCGGGGAUGACGUCAAAUCAGCACGGCCCUUACGUCCGGGGCGACACACGUGUUACAAUGGGCGGUACAGCGGGAAGCCAGGCGGCGACGCCGAGCGGAACCCGAAAGCCGUUCUCAGUUCGGAUCGGAGUCUGCAACCCGACUCCGUGAAGCUGGAUUCGCUAGUAAUCGCGCAUCAGCCAUGGCGCGGUGAAUACGUUCCCGGGCCUUGCACACACCGCCCGUCAAG
rnacentral:rRNA from 1 species